ensembl:snRNA U6 U6 spliceosomal RNA
GAGCUCACUCCAGCAGCACAUAUACUAAGCUUGGAACAAUACAGAGAUUGGCAUGGCCCCUGCACAAGGAGGACACGCAAAUUCAUGAAGCGUUCCAUACUUAC